rnacentral:rRNA from 1 species
CCUACGGGUGGCAGCAGUGGGGAAUAUUGGACAAUGGGGGGAACCCUGAUCCAGCGACGCCGCGUGAGUGAAGAAGUAUUUCGGUAUGUAAAGCUCUAUCAGCAGGGAAGAAAGAAAUGACGGUACCUGACUAAGAAGCCCCGGCUAACUACGUGCCAGCAGCCGCGGUAAUACGUAGGGGGCAAGCGUUAUCCGGAUUUACUGGGUGUAAAGGGAGCGUAGACGGCGAUGCAAGUCUGAAGUGAAAGGCGGGGGCCCAACCCCUGGACUGCUUUGGAAACUGUAUGGCUGGAGUGCGGGAGAGGUAAGUGGAAUUCCUAGUGUAGCGGUGAAAUGCGUAGAUAUUAGGAGGAAUACCAGUGGCGAAGGCGGCUUACUGGACUGUAACUGACGUUGAGGCUCGAAAGCGUGGGGAGCAAACAGGAUUAGAUACCCGGGUAGUC